AUGGCGCACCAGAGGAGGAUAUCACAGUUUGGCAGCGUUAUAACAAAUUACUGUUGGAUGCUGUUGGCAUCUUCGGGUUUCUUCUUAGGCGUAUUCGCAGUGACUACUAUUGCCCCUGUACAUCCUAGAUUGAUGAUCCCUGUUCCUGGCACAGCUGAUUGUUCUACUGCUUGUCCCAUUGAUUGUGUUUGCUCACCAUCCACAUCAACAACGGUUGCGGAUAGGCUGAAAUAUGAUAUUGCUAUCUGGAAUAGGUUUCUUAUUGCGUUCUGUCUAUCAGCAGUGUACUUUGUGUUUUUGGCAAAGCAACGUGUGGACGCUGCUGCCAAAGCUGAGGACAGGGCAGCCAGCGACGAGGACAAAGCCUACAAGUCCGCUCUUGAGGAUCUGAGUGCGCCGCGUACUGCCGUCAAAGAAGCCGCAGAAGCCCACGCACUGGCUCUUGAGAUGUUCCCCCCUCCUGCAGAAGGUGCUUUGGAUCCCCAUGUCAUUGCUGCCGAGAAGACCCAUUGUGAUGCUGUUCGAGCGUUUAUGAGCGCCACGGAGGAGGCUGAGAAGAAAAGACCCAUAGUUGGUAUUGCUCGAAUGGGUGAUGUGGAAAGGAGGAUUGUGCGUGGACUCUUUUUCCUAUCUGUUCUUGUCAAUAUGGGCGCCGGAAUAUGCGCAGCCGGUGCAUUCUUCCGUUCUGUUGAGCUGCAGAUGGGAAACCCCGCAGAGUUUGGUACACUUGUAGUGUUUGCAGUACCGGGAGUCCCAAUGAUCGUGUCACAUCUCUUUUGCCUCUUCGUGGCUGUGAAGGAGGACUAG
rnacentral:rRNA from 1 species